rnacentral:lncRNA from 1 species
AAUAAUUUUUUGCCCUAGGGUUUGUGUACAUGUAUGCAUUCUUGACAUUGCCUUGAUAUAUCAUUUGUGAAAUGCUCAAUUUUAAUCCAAUGCUCAUGAAAUUUGACAUGCUUAAACUAGACAUCUUGCUGGACAUUUUGGUGUUGAGUUUGCAUUUUUAUCAAUUGCCAUUGCUGAGUUAUGAUUUUUCUAAGUUAGGUGUGACAAUUUGUGUCACACCUUGAGAUGUUCAUCUUGAUGAAUGAAUUUUCCUUAUCAAAUGAAUUCCAA